AUCAAAACUACCUAGAGUUGCUGUUGAUGGACCGUUUGGUACCGCAAGUAUUGACAUAUUUAAGUACAAAGUUGGUGUAUGUGUGGCAGCAGGUAUUGGUGUUACACCCUUUGCAUCUAUCCUGAAGACUAUUUGGCAUCGUUUGUUGAACAAUUCUGAAGAUAUGAAACUUAGCAAAGUAUAUUUUUUCUGGAUCUGUCCCGAAACAAAUGCAUUUGCUUGGUUCUCGGAAUUACUGGAAGUGUUUGAACGCGAUAUGGUUGAGAAGGGAUAUGCAGACUUCCUUAAUUACAACAUUUACUUGACAAAGGGAUUGAGUUUUAAACAGG
rnacentral:lncRNA from 1 species